AGAGUUUGAUCCUGGCUCAGGACGAACGCUGGCGGCGGGCUUAACACAUGCAAGUCGAACGAGGUCCAUCUUGUAGCAAUACAAGUGAAGACCUAGUGGCGAACGGGUGAGGAACACGUGAGAAAUUUGCCCCGAACUUUGGGAUAACAGAUGGAAACGACUGCUAAUACCGAAUGCCGUUACGAAGUGGCAUCACUUCGUAACGAAAGAAUUUCGGUUCGGGAGAAUCUCGCGGCCUAUCAGCUUGUUGGUGAGGUAACGGCUCACCAAGGCUACGACGGGUAGCUGGUCUGAGAGGAUGAUCAGCCACACUGGGACUGAGACACGGCCCAGACUCCUACGGGAGGCAGCAGUGGGGAAUCUUGUGCAAUGGACGAAAGUCUGACACAGCCACGCCGCGUGCGGGAAGAAGGCCUUCGGGUUGUAAACCGCUUUCAGCAGGAACGAAAAUGACGGUACCUGCAGAAGAAGGAGCGGCCAACUACGUGCCAGCAGCCGCGGUGACACGUAGGCUCCAAGCGUUGUCCGGAUUUAUUGGGCGUAAAGAGCUCGUAGGCGGUUCAGCAAGUCGGGUGUGAAAACUCUGGGCUCAACCCAGAGCCUGCACCCGAAACUGCUGUGACUAGAGUUCGGUAGGGGAGUGGGGAAUUCCUAGUGUAGCGGUGAAAUGCGCAGAUAUUAGGAGGAACACCGAUGGCGAAGGCACCACUCUGGGCCGAAACUGACGCUGAGGAGCGAAAGCGUGGGUAGCAAACAGGAUUAGAUACCCUGGUAGUCCACGCCGUAAACGAUGGGCACUAGGUGUGGGUCUCUAACCAACGAGAUCCGCGCCGUCGCUAACGCAUUAAGUGCCCCGCCUGGGGAGUACGGUCGCAAGACUAAAACUCAAAGGAAUUGACGGGGCCCGCACAAGCAGCGGAGCGUGU
rnacentral:rRNA from 1 species